ACGAGAUUCUACAAUGGUCCAGAACAUUCUAGGAGAGCGAGCUGGUGUCAGGGUGUGCUGUGUCUGGAGCUGGUCAGCAAGUCGUCACCUAAAUUGUUUGGCAGCUCAUCGAAUCUGAGACUCUUUACGGGACUGAUCCAGUGAGUUCAGAAUUGCUAACAGGACCCAGUUGAAGGCAUGUUUUAUGGCAAAAGGAGAGAAACCAGGUCACUGAACACUUUGCAGGAGGAUUAGAAUUCA